UAGGGAAUCUUCCACAAUGGACGCAAGUCUGAUGGAGCAACGCCGCGUGAGUGAAGAAGGUUUUCGGAUCGUAAAGCUCUGUUGUUGGUGAAGAAGGAUAGAGGCAGUAACUGGUCUUUAUUUGACGGUAAUCAACCAGAAAGUCACGGCUAACUACGUGCCAGCAGCCGCGGUAAUACGUAGGUGGCAAGCGUUGUCCGGAUUUAUUGGGCGUAAAGCGAGCGCAGGCGGCAUGAUAAGUCUGAUGUGAAAGCCAACGGCUCAACCGUGGAACUGCAUCGGAAACUGUCAUUCUUGAGUGCAGAAGAGGAGAGUGGAAUUCCAUGUGUAGCGGUGGAAUGCGUAGAUAUAUGGAAGAGCACCAGUGGCGAAGGAGGCUCUCUGGUCUGCAACUGACGCUGAGGCUCGAAAGCAUGGGUAGCGAACAGG
rnacentral:rRNA from 1 species